CUGGUGGCACACUUGUACUGCGAUGGUUUGCGUGCAAAUUCGCGAACAGGCUAGUAGCUUAUCAAGUGGCAUUGCGCGUACGGAAAGAUGUAAACUGCCCCAUAAUCUUAGGAGCUUGAGAAAUCGGCGGCGCGCGA
rnacentral:lncRNA from 1 species